UACGGGGGGAGCAAGCGUUGUUCGGAUUUACUGGGCGUAAAGUGCGCGUAGGCGGCGCAACAAGUCACUUGUGAAAUCUCCGGGCUUAACCCGGAGCGGUCAAGUGAUACUGUCGUGCUAGAGUGCGGAAGGGGCUACUGGAAUUCUCGGUGUAGCGGUGAAAUGCGUAGAUAUCGAGAGGAACACCUGCGGCGAAGGCGGGUAGCUGGGCCGACACUGACGCUGAUGCGCGAAAGCCAGGGGAGCGAACGGG
rnacentral:rRNA from 1 species